UACGUAGGGGGCAAGCGUUGUCCGGAUUUAUUGGGCGUAAAGAGCGUGUAGGCGGCCAGACAGGUCCGUUGUGAAAACUCGAGGCUCAACCUCGAGAUGUCGAUGGAAACCGUCUGGCUAGAGUCCGGAAGAGGAGUGUGGAAUUCCUGGUGUAGCGGUGAAAUGCGCAGAUAUCAGGAAGAACACCUAUGGCGAAGGCAGCACUCUGGGACGGUACUGACGCUGAGACGCGAAAGCUAGGGGAGCAAACGGG
rnacentral:rRNA from 1 species